GAUGAACGCUAGCGGCAGGCCUAAUACAUGCAAGUCGAACGAGAUUAUCCAACUUGCUGGAUAUGAAAGUGGCGCACGGGUGCGUAACGCGUAUGCAACCUACCUUAUUCAGGGGGAUAGCCCGAAGAAAUUCGGAUUAACACCGCAUAAAAUCACAGUUCGGCAUUGGACAAUGAUCAAAUAUUUAUAGGAAUAAGAUGGGCAUGCGUGUCAUUAGCUAGUUGGCGGGGUAACGGCCCACCAAGGCGACGAUGACUAGGGGAUCUGAGAGGGUGGCCCCCCACACUGGUACUGAGAACCGGACCAGACUCCUACGGGAGGCAGCAGUAAGGAAUAUUGGUCAAUGGAGGGAACUCUGAACCAGCCAUGCCGCGUGCAGGAAGACGGCCCUCUGGGUUGUAAACUGCUUUUAUUCGGGAAUAAACCUAUUUACGUGUAAAUAGCUGAAUGUACCGAAGGAAUAAGGAUCGGCUAACUCCGUGCCAGCCGCCGCCGUAA
rnacentral:rRNA from 1 species